rnacentral:ncRNA from 1 species
AAACUGGUUUUUAUCAAAACCACACUCUUAGAUAUAACAAUUGGUAU